AAACCGUUGAAAGGGAAGCGAAUGGAGUUAGCAAUUCGCCACGCCAGAUUCAGUUUUCUCGCGUGCCGCGACGCGCGCGCACUCGAUCUCUGUAGACGAGUCGCGUUCGGACGGGGCGCGUGCGAGGCGCACUUCUGGCGGGCGAGCGUCAACGUCGGUCUCGGACGGGCUACAAGGUGGCGAGGAAGGUGGACCGCGCCUUCGGGCGCGGUUGUUAAGCCUCGCACACGAACGGCUCGUGCGAGACCGAGGCAUCUCGCGACGCGUGCCUGCCCCCGUCAAGGGGGCGGGCUGGCGACCCUAACUCGUUUGUCCGGUUGUCGAGGGUGGCGGACGGCACGCCUGUGCGCUCGAACUGCUGCCGGUCAACGAGUCGGUGUUCGCACACCACGCGUCAAGGACGUUGACGACCAUACGGCUCUAUCCGACCCGUCUUGAAACACGGACCAAGGAGUCUAACAUGUGCGCGAGUCUCUGGGUGAUCGAAACCCGUGGGCGAAAUGAAAGUAAAGGCAGCCCCGGUGCUGCUGAGGUGAGAAGCGCCGUCCUCGCGGCGGCGCCGCAUCAUCGACCGACCUAUUCUACUCCUAGGAAGGUUUGAGUAAGAGCGUAUCUGUUGGGACCCGAAAGAUGGUGAACUAUGCCUGAAUAGGGUGAAGCCAGCGGAAACACUGGUGGAAGCUCGUAGCGAUUCUGACGUGCAAAUCGAUCGUCGAAUUUGGGUAUAGCGGCGAAAGACUAAUCGAACCAUCUAGUAGCUGGUUCCCUCCGAAGUUUCCCUCAGGAUAGCUGGAGCUCGGAUGCAGU
rnacentral:rRNA from 1 species